CCCUUAGAUGUUCUGGGCCGCACGCGCGCUACACUGAUGCAUUCAACGAGUUUCUUCCUGGUCCGAGAGGAAUGGGUAACCUUUUGAAAGUGCAUCGUGAUAGGGAUAGACUAUUGCAAUUAUUGGUCUUCAACGAGGAAUUCCUAGUAGACGUAGUUCAUCAGACUGCAUCGAUUACGUCCCUGCCCUUUGUACACACCGCCCGGCGCUCCUACCGAUUGAAUGCUCAGGUGAGCCAUUCGGACUUUCAUCAUGCUGGUUCCCAGUUUUGAUGAAGGAAAGUCUUGCGAACCUUAUCAUUUAGAGGAAGGAGAAGUCGUAACA
rnacentral:rRNA from 1 species